rfam:Planctomycetes bacterium RBG_13_44_8b RBG_13_scaffold_3679, whole genome shotgun sequence.
GCCCAGGUGGCGGAACUGGCAGACGCGCCAGCUUGAGGGGCUGGUGGGCUUCGGCUUGUGGAGGUUCGAAUCCUCUCCUGGGCA